rnacentral:rRNA from 1 species
AUUGAACGCUGGCGGCAUGCUUUACACAUGCAAGUCGGACGAGUGGCGAACGGGUGAGUAACGCAUCGGAACGUACCGAGUAAUGGGGGAUAACUGUCCGAAAGGACAGCUAAUACCGCAUAUUAUUCGAGCGGCCGAUGUGUGAUUAGCUGGUUGGGGGGGGAAAGGCUCACCAAGGCGACGAUCCCUAGCGGGUCUGAGAGGAUGAUCAGCCACACUGGAACUGAGACACGGCCCAGACUCCUACGGGAGGCAGCAGUGGGGAAUGUUGGACAAUGGGCGCAAGCCUGAUCCAGCCAUGCCGCGUGUCUGAAGAAGGCCUUCGGGUUGUAAAGGACUUUUGUCAGGGAAGCGGUACCUGCAGAAUAAGCACCGGCUAACUCCGUGCCAGCAGCCGCGGUAAUAC